AAGAAAAAUUAACUUGCAUCUCUCUUUAAAAGCUCUCAGCGCUUGUUAGUGACUUAACGUGCACCGACACCGGAAUUGGGAGAGGGAGACUUAGGACUCAAGGGGAUGAUGGGAAAAUCACUGGAAAGGGGAAAAAUAAACUGCCUAUUAUAGGGCAAACUAAGAAGGGAAUGGAUAUUGGGGCAAUUGAGGUUGUGAAGAAGACACUGGUAAUGGUAACAGUGGCACAAUCACUGGUGCUGGAUGCUCAAAUGCCAGCGGGGGAGGUAAAUUUGAUCGGUGAUACCGUGACAAAGGGGAUAUUAAAGGAGUAUACCGCUACUACUGGUUCUAUAGCUCCUAAAAUGGUGAGCCCUAAACCUAUUGGGCAGAAGACCUCAAGAGGAAGUGGCAUAGUAUCUCCGAUAAACUCGAUAGAUCCAAACAUGCAUCCACAGAACGAGGUAUCCAACCUCUUCACUUGGUCAAGCAUCAUGGCCGAGAGGAAGCUAGAAACCAGAGGAAUGGAUUUGGGAUUUAUUUCCCCUAUAGUGCAUGAUGGUGAGUAGAUUGCAAAGCUGGAUGAAGAUGAAAUUGAUGAAGAUAUUGCAUUGUGGAAAAACUCAAUUAAUUUGUAUAUAAUUGGACAAUCUCCAUCCAUUGGUGUUGAAGAAAAUUUCCUAAUGUCUAAUUGGAAUUUCAAGGAAAGCUACAGAUCGUUUAUCAUAACUAUUAUUACUUUGUGAUUCGUUUCAGUUCCAAAGACGGGCAAUAAAAGGUGAUGUGUUCAGGCUAUAUGAUCACUAAUAUGUCAGUAACUUUCAAAUACUGGGCGAAGGACUUCAAUCUCUUAUGAGGAAGUGCUAAGUAUUAUUCCUAUAUGGGUAAAGUUGCCGAACCUGCCACUGAGUUGCUGGGUAAGAAAGCCUUGAGUAGCAUAGGAAAUAUACUGGGCAACCUAUAUUUUGCAGAUGAUUGUACCACAAAAAGUCAGGACCUCCUAUGCAAGAUUAUUAGUUCAUGAGAUUGACAUUACCAGACUACUAUUUAAGAAUAUCAAGGUUCAGGACCUCGUCCGAUAAGAUGUUCAAUCAAGAGGUUAUAUACGAUUGGGAGCCAGAUUAUUGUGAAAUUUUUUUAGAGAUUGGGCAUGAUUACAACAAGGCCAAGUGCAAGCAGCCUAUCCCAAAGGCUGAUAUAGUGCAUGAAAAAGCUCAACCAGAAAAAGAGAGAAGGGAGAAUGUAUGGCAACAUAACCAAAAAAGAGCAAGAAAUGCAAGAACCUCAAAGAAAACCUAGCAGAAACAACAAGAUGGAAAUUGAGUCAUAGUGCAUGGGAGAGUAUGUGUGCGUACAGAAUCGAUUAACCUGGGUUUGAAAUAGGUACAUAUGCACAAAUAACACUCGAGGAACAGCGUCACAUAAAAAGGAAUAAUCUUCUACAAAAAAUACUAAAUUCCUAAUAGGGGAGAAGGUCAAUGUUAAUAUAAGAAAUGUAUUUCAUCCUUUGACUAAAGAAGUAGCAAUAUGGGUCAUGAAUGUGGUGAUAAGGAAUGUAGUGUCAGUGGGACGAAGGUUAUGCCUGACGAUCCUAGUGAAUAUCCAUGAAUAUUGCUACAUGGAAUAUGAGGGGUGCAAAGAAAGCUCAAAGAAUUAGGGAGCUAAAGGUGGCAAUAAAAGAAGCUAGAAUGAAGUUAUUAGUUAUAUUAGAACAUAGAGUUAAAUACCAAAAAGAUGCACCUGUAGUACCUAACAUAAUUACUGGAUAAAGUUGGGUAUCUAAUGGCGUGUUGCUACUAGAGGGAGGAUAUGGGUGAUUUGGGAUACUAAGGUGGGACUCAAACAAUGUGUAUUUCUUUGCUAGUAUGAAGCAAAGAUGCUCCCAGACUCAUAUAGCAUGUUUGAUAAAUAGGCAAGGCGAACAACUCCAACAACCUGAUGCAAUUGUGAAGGAGCUAUUGGAUUUCUACAAGAACCUACUAGGCGAUAGUGGUGGGGGAAAGCUAGCAAUUAACCCAAUGAUUAUUAAAAAUGGUCAUGUGUUGAAUAUAUCCAAGCAGAGCGAACUAAUUUGACCAGUGACUACUGAGGAUAUUGCGAAGGCACUGAAUGAUCUUUAUAGUUUAGCGAAGGUGUGAUGGCAUGAAUACCUAUUUUUUUUCAAAAAUGCUUGCGACAUUGUUACAGAUGAGGUAAGAAACGCUAUCCUUGACUUUUUUAUACUGGAAAAAUGUUCUGACCUAUAAACUGUACUUAAGUGACACUUAUACCAAAAGUGAAUCACCCAUAGAACAUUAAGGAGUACCUGCCGAUUUCAUGUUGAAUAGUUUUGUACAAAUUGAUAUCAAAAGUGCUGACUAGGAGAAUGCAAAUUGCUAUGAAUGACUUGGUGGAUGUUGGCAUGUCAGCUUUCAUCCUAGGGAGGAAUAUUACAGUCAAUAUUAUCAAAAGUCAUGAACUGGUGAAGAGCUAUAGCAGGAAAGGGGUUUCUCGUAAGUGUAUGAUGAAGCUAGAAAUGUAGAAGGCGUACGAUUCAUUGAAUUGGAACUUUCUCAAACAAGUACUUCGAGGACUAGCUUUUACUGAGAUAUUUGUCGAUCGAUAAUGGAGUGUAUAAGAAUGGUGUCUUAUUAAAUACUUAUUAAUGGGAAUACAACUAAACCCUUUGUAGAAAAUAAAGGAACCGGCAAGGGGAUCCACUAUCCCCUUACCUAUUUGUAUUGGCUAUAGAUUAUCUGACAAAAUACUAGCUUGAAAACUUUAAAGCAACAAACUGACUUUAAUUUCCAUCCCAUGUAUGAGAAGCUAGGAAUUAUACAACUUGGGUUUGCAGAUGAUUUACUUCUUUUUUAUUGAGGUGAUACUUUAUCGGUCCAACUGCUUUAUCAGUGCUUCCAACAAUUUUCGUUGGCUUCAGGGCUACAGGUGAAUACUAGGAAGAGUACAGUCUUCUUUGGUGUUGUUAACCAAAGAGUGAAAAAGGAGAUUCUUUACUUGCUUGAAUUCCCAUAAGAGGAGCAUGCUUUUGAGUACAAAAAAACUAUCUGGGGCUUAGUGUACACCUCUAGCCGAUAAAUUGGUUCGGAGAGUCAGUCUAGGGGUCCAGCUAAUCAGUAGAGUAUCUAAAGAGAAGUGAUCCGUGCAGAGGUGAGCUUUCUUUGUUCCAAAAGGCCUAUUAUUUUAGAUUAUGUUAUUUCUUUGUUUUGGUCUACUGGGGGCCUUGUCCCAGUUUUCAGAAUAGUUUUGAGAUAUAGUAGAGAUUUCACGGACCGAGUCAGAUCAUAUUCAGAUGUUUUGAAUUGUAACUUUCAUUCUCAUGUCUUGAAACUCAGAGGUAAUGACCAUGUUUCCGUAUCAAAUUUUAUUUUCGCAUAUUCUCUUAUUAUAUGAAUGUUGUGCAUGACUAUCAGAUAAAGUAGGACAUUCGAGCCUUCAUAGUUUGAGAUGUCUGUCACGGUCAGGCCCUAGUUUGGGUCAUGAUAAACUUGGUAUCAGAGCACGGUUCAUGGUCUCAGGAUUUCUGCAAAAUCGCGUCGGGUAGAAUCUUAUUUAUGGAAAAAUAAUAAUGCCUCCCCGUCGUAUUAUCGAUCAGAAUGCACAGACAGAUGAGGUCCGUCUCACUCAUGGGAUGAGGACCCGAAAUAGAGCUCAGACUCCUAAGAUUGAUGCUACUAUGGGAGUCCCACCUAUUCAGGCAAUCUAUUCACAUGCUUGCACAGUUGGUAGCCACACAGACUUAGUGGCAUGGAGGAGAAAGGUUCGAAUGCGUCAAUCCUCAGAGCUAAUGCUACUAGAUAGUUGUUUCUUCCCCUUGUUUAUGUUUUAAGGUUUUGGGUUUGGGUUACUCCUAUUAAGGGCAUGUAACAAAUAAUUACUCUUUUUAUUUCUUGAACUUUUGGACGUUUUUCCUUCCUAAUCUUACUUGA